rnacentral:rRNA from 1 species
CACGUAGUUAGCCGUGACUUUCUGGCGGGGCACCAUCAGUCAGCACCCAUUUCCUGAUGCUGCCUUUUUUCCCCCGCAACAGAGCUUUACGACCCGAAGGCCUUCUUCACUCACGCGGCAUCGCUCGUUCAGGCUUGCGCCCAUUGACGAAAAUUCCCUACUGCUGCCUCCCGCAGGAGUCUGGGCCGUGUCUCAGUCCCAAUGUGGCCGUCCGCCCUCUCAGGCCGGCUAUGCAUCAUCGUCUUGGUGGGCCUUUACCCCGCCAACCAACUAAUGCACCGCAGGUCCAUCCGCGCCCCAUCCCCCUAAAGGAUGUUUCACAGAAAGAAGAUGCCUCCUUCCUGUACAUCGGGAUUUGUUCUCCGUUUCCAGAGCGUAUUCCCGGUGCGCGGGCAGGUUCCCUACGUGUUACUCACCCGUUCGCCACUAGAGACCCGAAGGUCUCUCGUUCGACUUGCAUGUAUUAGGCAUGCCGCCAGCGUUCAUCCUGAGCCAGGAUCUAAA